GGGGACAUAGCUCAGUUGGGAGAGCAACAGACUGAAGAGCAGCGACGACCAAGUUCUUCUGGAGGUCCCCAGUUCAAUCCUGGGUGUCCCCA